CCCCAAGGACUUGCUGGAGACGCCUUUCCAGCCAGUGCAGGAAGAGACACCACUGUGGCCCAGUCUGAAUGCUGAUGACUCAGCCUCCUCUCCCCUUUGCUUGUCUGCACACUGCUGGCUGAAGCAUUAUCACUUGUUUCCGAGCUGCUUGUUCUCAGCCAUUAGGCACAGCACUGAGCUGAGAAUGCAGAAUUCGCCUUGAUUGUGCUUCUUGUCCAUGAUCCUCACACACCUUAGACUUUCCAGUUCAUCUCUGGGAUCCAGUGGACAAUCACAUUCUCCUGUCCUGAAAACAUCCUCUCCAGGUUCCUGACUGGGACUUUAGAAGAGUCAAAUAAGAGAAUCACAAGAGAAUCCAGCCAGAUACUGUAUUACAAAGAGCCCAAUUCAUGAUAGUGUCAUUAAGGGAAAAAGUACAGGCUGAAUCCUUGACUUGGCAGACAAUAUCCAGUAUGAAUUGUGGACAUUGGGUCUGGAGAUUGUGCAGAUAAAAUGAGAACCAUGCAUCCAGGAAAAU